rnacentral:lncRNA from 1 species
UGAGUUGAAAAGUCUGUUAUUGACACAUAGCUUGAAAUCCAGUCUCAAAGACAGGGUUAGCGUGUCAUCCAUGCCCCAGAACCCUGCUUACAAAAUCCAUCUCUGGGCCCUGUAAUCCAAAACAAAUACAUAGGAAGUUAAAGGCUGUUAAUACUCCACAGGGAACUGGAAGAGAAAUGUAACAUUUGCCAUUCAGUAAGGGUUCAGGGUCAAUCUCGUUAUCAGCAUUAUACCUAUGAACAUUUGCAUAUUUGUAACAGUUUUCUUUUACUUAUAUGUUUACUUAAUUUUAUGCUGAUGAAUCAUCCUCAUGGACAUGAAAUCACUAAAAAUUCCAUGAAGAGUUGGGUGUCUUUUAUUUUGGGAAAGGAAGCAAAGCCUGCAGCAAGAGAACCAUGCUCAUUGGAGGUGCAGGUGGUAUUUCGGAAAAUGAGCGUGGGCGAAGCACUAGGAUGCUUGUCUUUCCCCUUUGCAAGCUUCAGCAUGGUCCUGUACACGUAGGUCCAGUGGAUGAUUGGAAAUUCCCAAAUGCCUAACACUCAGAAGUAUGCUUUUGGCAUGUUAGGUAAGAAUGAGUUCAUGCUGAAGGCACAUCUCACGAGGAGAACCUGUACUAUCUCUCUUGGAUCAGCAUUCCAUCAAAGAAUAGUUCCAACUGACGAUAUCACCCUGUUUUCUGUAGGAAAAAAGUACACACACACACACACACACAACACAUGUCAUCAGUAGAGAUUUUGAAAAGAGAGGGCAUCGUGCCCUUUGGUUCCUAUGUUAAUUGGAAAGAAGAGGCGAGGUGCAUGUGUAUGUGCGUAUAUCUAUCUAUCUAUCUAUCUACCUAUCUAUCUAUCAUCUAUCUAUCUCUCUGUGUGUGUGUGUGAUUUUUAUAGAUUCAAAGGAAAAAGGAUAGUUAUAAACUGGGUGAACAGUUAGGAUGGGAAACAAAGAAACUUUCACCAAGUCUUGCCUGUUCAAACACGCUAUCUUUUUUUUUUUUUCCUUAAGGGAAAACUUCUGAAGCUGGUUUGCAAUUGUUAAGCUAAUCUGUGGCCAAGGAGAGAAAAAAA